GGUACUGUAAAUCUGACCCCUUGUUUGAUGAGAGUGUCACACUCCCUGCGCCUCUAUUUGCUGUGCAGAAAGUAUAUGUAGAAACCUAAUAUCUUUACUGUAUAUCUGACUGCAUUUUAGAGAAAUUUUGCAACAACUCUUUGAUCGUGCUAAGGUGGUUGGUGAAAGGUAUAAUUUCUGAAAGAGAGACGAAAGAUACCAGAGGGACAGUAAAACUCAUAAAUCGAAAAUAAACUGACAAUGCCAUGGCUAAAAAAUGAAAAAGACAAACAGACAAACAAUAGUACACAUGACACAACAUAGAAAACUAAAGAAUAAACAACACAAACCCCACCAAAAUCUAGAGGUGACCUCAGGUGCUUCGGAAGGGUAAGCAGAUCCUGCUUCACAUGUGGCACCCGUUGAUUGCUGAACUGAUAAUUGCUCUCUCCCUUAAAAUGUCUUAUUUUCCAUAGGUAGUUCAAAUUUGUCUCUUCAUCCAAGUCCAUAAAUAUAUUGCACUUAUCUUUAAAAUACUAUUUUGCUUUUGUCCUGAAUAUGCAUUAAAUAUUCGCCAAUGCAAGCUAAGCAAACA
rnacentral:lncRNA from 1 species